GUGAAGCCAGCUGGGCUCCUGAAUCUGGUGGGGCUUUGGAGAACACAUCCGAACAUCAGAAGGAACAAACUCCAGACGCACCACCUUAAGAGCUGUAACACUCACCGCAAGGGUCCGCAGUUUCAUUCUUGAAGUCAGUGAGACCAAGAACCCACCAAUUCCGGACACAUUUUGGCGACCCAGAUGGGACUUUCGCCUAUCACCAAGCGGUGAGACCAUCACCUAUAGCUGAGCGGUGAGACCAUCACCUAUAGCUGAGCGGCGAGACCAUCACCUAUCACCAAGCAAAUCAAGGCCAUCAAGCUACAGAUGGGCUUACAAAUGGAACCCAAAAUGAGUUCAACUAACAACUUCUACCAAGGGCCCCUGGACCGACCCACUGGCACUUCCCCUGGCCUAGAGUUCCCCUCUGAAGGACACUACAACUGCAAGGCCCCUUCUUCACCCCAUCCAGCAGGAAGUAGCUAGAGCGGUCAUCGGCCAAAUUCCCAACAGCAGUUGGGGUGUCCUGUUUAGAGGGGGGAUUGAGAGGUGACAGCAUGCUGGCAGUCCUCAGCCCUCACUCACUCUUGGCACCUCCUCUGCCCGGGCUCCCACUUUGGUGGCACUUGAGGAGCGCUUCAGCCCACCGCUGCACUGUGGGAGCCCCUUUCUGGGCUGGCCAAGGCCAGAGCCGGCUCCCUCAGCUUCCAGGGAGGUGUGGAGGGAGAGGCUCAAGCGGGAACUGGGGCUGCGUGCGGCGCUUGCGGGCCAGCUGGAGUUCCGGGCGGGCGUGGGCUUGGCGGGCCCUGCACUCAGAGCAGCCAGCCGGCCCUGCCGGCCCCGGGCAGUGAGGGGCUUAGUACCUGGGCCAGCAGCUGUGAAGGGUGUACUGGGUCCCCCAGCAGUGCCAGCCCACCGGCGCUGCACUCGAUUUCUCACCGGGCCUUAGCCGCCUUCCCAUGGGGCAGGGCUUGGGACCUGCAGCCCGCCAUGCCUGAGCCUCCCACACCCCCUCCAUGGGCUCCUGUGCGGCCCGAGCCUCCUCGACGAGCGCCACCCCCUGCUCCACGGCACCCAGUCCCAUCGACCACCCAAGGGCUGAGGAGUGCGGGCGCACGCAGGGGAC
rnacentral:lncRNA from 10 species